rnacentral:rRNA from 1 species
GAGGAAAGAGGGAGGAGGGAUGAAUACAUGCAAGUCGAGCGAACAGAUGAGGAGCUUGCUCCUCUGACGUUAGCGGCGGACGGGUGAGUAACACGUGGAUAACCUACCUAUAAGACUGGGAUAACUUCGGGAAACCGGAGCUAAUACCGGAUAAUAUAUUGAACCGCAUGGUUCAAUAGUGAAAGACGGUUUUGCUGUCACUUAUAGAUGGAUCCGCGCCGCAUUAGCUAGUUGGUAAGGUAACGGCUUACCAAGGCAACGAUGCGUAGCCGACCUGAGAGGGUGAUCGGCCACACUGGAACUGAGACACGGUCCAGACUCCUACGGGAGGCAGCAGUAGGGAAUCUUCCGCAAUGGGCGAAAGCCUGACGGAGCAACGCCGCGUGAGUGAUGAAGGUCUUCGGAUCGUAAAACUCUGUUAUUAGGGAAGAACAAAUGUGUAAGUAACUAUGCACGUCUUGACGGUACCUAAUCAGAAAGCCACGGCUAACUACGUG